rnacentral:lncRNA from 1 species
UUUUUUUAGAAGUGUGUAAAAUUUGUGUUAAGAUCAACGGUUUAUUCAUUAGUUAUUGGGAUUUAAAUCUGUUGUAGGAAUUACUUGGAUUUGGUUUAGGAUUUGGUUAGGAUUUGGUUUGGGAUUUAGGAUUUGGAUUAGGGUUUGAUUUAGGGUUUAGGAUUUGAUUAGGGUUUUAUUUAGGAUUUAGGUUUUAGAUUAGGGUUUGAUUUAGGAUUUAGGGUUUAAUUAGGAUUUGGAUUAGGAUUUAGGGUUUGGAUUAGGAUUUGGUUUAGGAUUUGGUUAGGGUUUGAUUUAGGAUUUAGGAUUUGGUUUAGGAUUUGGUUAGGGUUUGAUUUAGGAUUUAGGAUUUGGUUUAGGAUUUGGUUAGGGUUUGAUUUAGGGUUUAGGAUUUUAUUAAGAUUUAAGUUUCAAUUAGUUUGGCUUAAAGUUUGAUUGAAGUUCAAUAGGAUUUUAACUAGAAUUAAAUUAAGAUUGAAUUGAGAUGUAUUUGAAUGACAUUUGUAUUCUUUCUAAUGUUUCUUUAAAAAUUCCUAUUAUUUGUUUGAAAUUUCUUUGGAGUUCUUUUGAAUUUGAUUAAGCUUGCUUAGCAUUAUUAUAGUCUAAUUAGAGCAUUGUUAGUAUUCUAUUAGAAUUAGAAUUUUGUUAUUGCAAUUUCCAUUCUUCCUUCCACAGCCAGGUGUCCGGAGCAUUCUCAAGCCACACUUCACGUAAUACGACAACGGAGUCCUAUACCACUAGCUAUUACUAUGGCACAACAAUCAAUGCUAAUAGAGAUUGAUGCCUUACAAGGACUACUAAUACCAUAGACAUGACAAAUAUUGGCAUAGAAGGGAUUGUAUUUUUAUUGUCAGAAGCUACACCAUUAGAUUAGAAAUUGUCCAAAAUGUCAAAGUUCAAGCAUCAAAAAAUCAUGGUGGGUUCACAAUCUUGAGGAUCACUAGUUUGAUGAAGAAGUAGAGAAGGAAAAUGGAGCUUCUUAGUAAAGGCACUGAGAUAAAUAUUAAAAAUAGUUACUAUUUCUCAGAGACAAAUGACAAAGCCUUGAAAAACUAUCAAAAGAGUUGAGUGAUGUGUCGAAUAAGUUGACUAAAAAGACAACUAUGUUGAGUGCUUGUGGAUUGUGGCUCUACAAAAAAUUACAUCUUGAUGGCAAUUAUCAAUUAAUUUGGCAUUAAGAUAAAGGUGAUCAAAAGAGGAAGUAUAUACCUAGUAGAUGACCAAAUAAACAUAUUGAGCAAGAAAAGUAAAGAAGAAACCUUGAGGUUGAGUGACACUUAUGGCUUAAGGAAGAAGUUUAGAAUAAUAAAGCUUAAAUAUGAUGUUAUUCCUAGUAUGCUAUGGCUAGAGGUAAAAAAUAAACUUGUUGAUUGGCUAGCAAGGACAAUCUCUUUUAAAGAUGGACGACGCACGAUAACUCUUUUAGCCCUUGUACCAAGUGUAAUAACAAAACAAUCUGUGGCUAAAAGCUUAAUCAUAAGAAUAAUCUUUAUGAAGAAAGAAAUAUGAUAUAAGUAAUUCAUAUAUGUGGUGGUUUUGAAACUUGCAUCAAUGAUCGAAAAGACAACCAAACCUUCUAAAGGACUAGAAGGGGUAGAUCAACUCAUACGUAAAUAUUAAGAUGUCUUUCUAACUAACUUAUCUAGUGGUGUACCACUUCAUCCAAGUGCCUCCUUCUAAAUAGAUAUAUGCUUGGAGCCAAACCAACUAGUCAUCCUAUUUUAUGCCUAACACCAAAUGAACUUGAAGAAUUGCAAAAGUCAUUAAAUAAAUUCUUGGAGAAGGGCCUUAUUUGAAAAAAACACGUCACCAAAGGGAGUACCUAUAUUCAUUGCACUCAAAAAAGAUGAUAGACUUUGACUUUGCAUUGAUUAUUGAGGCCUCUAUAAGUAGACUAUGAAGAAUACAUAUCCGCUUCUAAGUUGUUGUCAUACAAAAUGGCUAAAACGUGAAAAGGUGAAGAAAAUAUCAUAUUUUUGAAGAUCUUAUUUUAAAUAUAUUAUAAAAAGUUAUCUUAGAAAAUAGAUAAUAGUCAAGUAGUAAAAAAAUUAAAGGUGAUAAUGCUGCCUUUUUGCAAAAUAGGCUUCUAUUCAUUUUGUAGGACCACAAAUAGAGCAAAAUAAGGUAGAUUAGAAAAAUAAACAAUAUAAUCACCUUUGGAAAGAAGUUAAGAAUAGUUUCCAAUAAAAAUUAUCUAAAAAAAACUAGAUAUUGAUAUCUGGAGAGGGCCGGUUAUGAACUGGAGUCGAAAUCAGAUUCCCAGGCACAAAAUCGAGCUUCGACAUUGAUUUUGGGAUUCUUUUUGGACAUUGGAGAAUAGAAUCUAGGAGUUGUCUUGACAAGGUUUUUUUGAACAUUUUUUUGAGAUGAUUUAGAUUUGUGUUGACUUAAUAAGAGCUUUUCAAAGUCAAGGUUUGUUUUGGAUGACUCUAGAUUUGUGAAAUAAAAAGAGAGAUACCUUUUGAAGAAUUUUGUAAGUUUGGCAAUAGAUCCAUAAGUGAAAUUUUUUUUGUUUAUAGUUUUAUAUGUAUUCAAUAUAUGCUAUGAGUUUGAGCUUGAUCGAAGGGUUGGAUCAAGAGUUAUUGAGGUUUAAGUGGGUCGGAAUCUCAAAAAGUAGAGUUUUAGGUUGAAUGAGGGUUUCUAAAAUUUUUUGUAAUCUAUUAGUUGGAUUGGAAUAAAAAUUAUGUUUAUAGGUAGUAGACUUAUUUUCCUACAUAUAUGAGAAAUUUGAGGCCAAUUAAAUAGUUUGAUAAGGAGAUAUUGGUGCUAAAAAUUCAACAUUCAGAUUAAAGAAGGAGGCUAGCCAACAUCUGAGAAAAUAUUAGGGUUGAUCUUCUUUUUGGUGAGUUUGAUCUUCUUCAAAAGUUUUAUACUUUUUGUCAACUUAAUUGUUAAGAGGUGUACAAAUUUUUAGUUAAAAUCAAUUGAAUUCAUCCAUUAAUUAUUGAGGUUUAAAUCUGAUGUAUGAAUUACUUGAGAUUAUUUAAGAUUUGAUUAAGGUAUGUUUAGGGAUCGAUAAGGAUUUAGUUAAGAUUUGUUUAGGUUUUGUUUAGGAUUUAGUUAGGAUUCGGUUAGGAUUUGACUAGAAUUUGAUUAAGAUUUGUUUAGAAUUUGAUUAGUAUUUGAUUAGGAUUUGUUUAGAAUUUGAUUAGGAUUUGUUUAAAAUUUGAUUAAGAUUUGUUUAGGAUUUGAUUAGGAUUUGAUUAGGAUUUAUUUAGGAUUUAUUUAGGAUUUGUUUAGGAUUUGGUUAAGGUUUGUGUAGGAUUUGAUUAAGAUUUGAUUAGGAUUUAUUUAAGAUUUGUUUAAAAUUUGGUUAGGAUUUUUGUAGGAUUUAUUUAGGAUUUGAUUAGGAUUUGUUUAAGAUUUGGUUAGAAUUUAUUUAAAAUUUGUUUAGGAUUUAUUAGAAUUCGGUAAGGAUUUGUUUAGGAUUUGACUAGGAUUUGAUAAAGAUUUGUUUAAGAUUUGAUUAGGAUUUGGUUAGGAUUUGUUAGGAUUUGAUUAGGAUUUAUUUAGGAUUUGAUUAGGAUUUGAUUAGAAUUUGACUAGAAUUUCAUUAGAUUUUGUUAGGAUUUAAUUAAAAUUUCUAUUUUAAUAUUUUAUUAAA